rnacentral:rRNA from 1 species
UUUGAUCCUGGCUCAGAACGAACGCUGGCGGCAUGCCUAAUACAUGCAAGUCGAACGAACACUUCGGUGUUAGUGGCGCACGGGUGCGUAACGCGUGGGAAUCUGCCCUUGGGUUCGGAAUAACAGUUGGAAACGACUGCUAAUACCGGAUGAUGACGAAAGUCCAAAGAUUUAUCGCCCAAGGAUGAGCCCGCGUAGGAUUAGCUAGUUGGUGAGGUAAAGGCUUACCAAGGCUACGAUCCUUAGCUGGUCUGAGAGGAUGAUCAGCCACACUGGGACUGAGACACGGCCCAGACUCCUACGGGAGGCAGCAGUAGGGAAUAUUGGACAAUGGACGAAAGUCUGAUCCAGCAAUGCCGCGUGAGCGAUGAAGGCCUUAGGGUUGUAAAGCUCUUUUACCCGAGAUGAUAAUGACAGUAUCGGGAGAAUAAGCCCCGGCUAACUCCGUGCCAGCAGCCGCGGUAAUA